UAGAGUUUGAUCCUGGCUCAGGAUGAACGCUAGCGACAGGCUUAACACAUGCAAGUCGAGGGGCAGCGGGGGUGAUGGCUUGCCAUCACCUGCCGGCGACCGGCGCACGGGUGAGUAACACGUAUGCAACCUGCCCGCCACAGGGGGAUAAGCGGAAGAAAUUCCGUCUAAUACCGCGUGACGCGGCACCGGGGCAUCCCGGUGCCGCCAAAGGGAUUACCGGUGGCGGAUGGGCAUGCGGCGCAUUAGCUAGUCGGCGGGGUAACGGCCCACCGAGGCGACGAUGCGUAGGGGUUCUGAGAGGAAGGUCCCCCACACUGGUACUGAGACACGGACCAGACUCCUACGGGAGGCAGCAGUGAGGAAUAUUGGUCAAUGGGCGCGAGCCUGAACCAGCCAAGUCGCGUGAGGGAUGACGGUCCUACGGAUUGUAAACCUCUUUUGCCGGGGAGCAAGCGUGCGUUCGUGAACGCGCGUCGAGAGUACCCGGAGAAAAAGCAUCGGCUAACUCCGUGCCAGCAGCCGCGGUAAUACGGAGGAUGCGAGCGUUAUCCGGAUUUAUUGGGUUUAAAGGGUGCGUAGGCGGGAUGCCAAGUCAGCGGUAAAAAAGCGGUGCUCAACGCCGUCGAGCCGUUGAAACUGGCGUUCUUGAGUGGGCGAGAAGUAUGCGGAAUGCGUGGUGUAGCGGUGAAAUGCAUAGAUAUCACGCAGAACUCCGAUUGCGAAGGCAGCAUACCGGCGCCCUACUGACGCUGAGGCACGAAAGCGUGGGUAUCGAACAGGAUUAGAUACCCUGGUAGUCCACGCAGUAAACGAUGAAUGCUAACUGUCCGGUGCGAGUGAGCGCUGGGCGGUACAGCGAAAGCGUUAAGCAUUCCACCUGGGGA
rnacentral:rRNA from 1 species